rnacentral:rRNA from 1 species
UACGGGGGGAGCAAGCGUUGUUCGGAUUUACUGGGCGUAAAGGGCGCGUAGGCGGCCACCGCAAGUCGACUGUGAAAUCUCCGGGCUUAACCCGGAAAGGUCAGCCGAUACUGCGGGGCUAGAGUGCAGAAGGGGCAACUGGAAUUCUCGGUGUAGCGGUGAAAUGCGUAGAUAUCGAGAGGAAGACCGGUGGCGAAGGCGGCCUGCUGGGCAGUUACUGACACUGAGGCGCGACAGCGUGGGGAGCAAACAGG